rnacentral:rRNA from 1 species
AUUGAACGCUGGCGGCAGGCCUAACACAUGCACGUCGAGCGAGCGGCGGACGGGUGAGUAAUGUCUGGGAAACUGCCUGAUGGAGGGGGAUAACUACUGGAAACGGUAGCUAAUACCGCAUACCAUCAGAUGUGCCCAGAUUGGAUUAGCUAGUAGGUGGGGUAAUGGCUCACCUAGGCGACGAUCCGUAGCUGGUCUGAGAGGAUGACCAGCCAAACUGGAACUGAGACACGGUCCAGAAUCAUACGGGAGGCAGCAGUGGUGAAUAUUGCAAGAUGGGCGCAAGCCUGAUGCAGCCAUGCCGCGUGUGUGAAGAAGGCCUUCGGGUUGUAAAGCACUCUCAGAGGGGAGGCGUUACCCGCAGAAGAAGCACCGGCUAACUUCGUGCCAGCAGCCGCGGUAAUUC